UAAAUUAAAAAAUAAGUUUACAAUUCUCUAACUCAUUACUUUAAAGACAAAGAAACUGAGAGUCAGAGAGCAUGAUGGCCCUGAAAAGGUAACCUACUAAACAUUGGAGACCAAAGCUUCCCUGAAAAACAGGUCUGUGAUGUGACAAUGCUUCAAAAUAUAGCCCUGAUAUAGACCUCUUACCCCUUAAUAUAACAUAUGAACCACUUUAUCCAUGAAUAACGUAUGACAAUAGUUAACAUUUAUUGAGCAUAUACUAUGUAAUGAGACAUGUUCUAAGCACAUGACACAUAUCAAUUAAACUAAUCCUCACAACAGGUGCUCUUAAUAUCCCUAUUUUACAGAAGAAGUGAGUUACAGUGAGGUUAAAUAAGUUCCCUUAAGGUCAUGGUGCUUGUAAAAGAAGAAUCAGAAUAUGAACUGUGGAAGCCCAGCUCUUAACUACCAUAAUGUACUAUAAGUUAAGCAUUGCACAGGCAAAAGAGGUUUAUUUUACUCACAGGUGCAGGGCUUCAUUUGGAGCACUGAAAAAAGGAGGUUAUCAAAGGAUCUUUUGUGAUAUUAUUUUUGGAACUCAUGGAGGAGAUGCAAAGCUCCCCAUAUCUAGGGUAAUAAUGGAGUCAGAGCCAGGACACUGGUACCAAUCAUGCAACAAGCUAUGGGGCACAAGGGACAAGUAUGGAGAUGGCUGUGGCUAAGGUUGUGAGUGGAUGGAGAUGGAGGAGGUAGAUGGGAAAGGCAGUGUCUGCAUUCUAGGUGAGGAUGUGUGUGCAACAGAAAGGUGGGGAGGUGCUAUUGUAGAGCAAGUUAUCGUAUAGAUUCAAGGUUUACAUCAAUGACAGCAGUUUUUUUCAGUCAUCUUUUUCUCCUUCCCCUGAAAAGCUAAGCUGUUAUCAAGGCAAGGGCCUUCCAAACCACAGUGCCUGAGACAUGCUGCCACACUCUGACAUGCCAUCUCCCGCUUCCCACUAUCUCUAGUUCCACAACUGGCUCUGGAGCAGCCCAAGUGCUCACCACGGUUUGAAAUCCUGUCUGUCCCUGCAGGUAGGUUACCAUAUCCUUUCACUUCCUCCUGCUCACAGUCCAGGACAGCUUGGUGUUACUCUCUUAUUAUCAUUAUUAUUUUUAUUAAUAGAUGCUAUUUUUAGAUCAGUUUUAGAUUUACAGAAACAUUGAACAGAUAGAGAGUACCCAUACAUGCCCCCCAUGGUUUCUCCUAUUAUUAACAUGUUAUAUUAACAUGGGACAUUUGGUUUUGUUAUAACUAGUUAACCAAUAUUGAUGUAUUGACUGAAGUCCAUAGGUUAUCCAGAUGUCCUUAGGGUUUUAACUGUUAAUUUUUACCUAACUUUUUAUAGCAAUAAUAAAUGUGUAACAAUAGCUUUCAUUUUUAAACUGGGACAUUAUAUUUAGAUGCACCUACAAAUGAAUCCCCUUAGGCCCUGGCUGGACCAUUGUCCCACCCACAAAAAGGUUGUGUCUUAUUCCUAGUCAGGCACAUACCUAGGGUUGAGGAUUUGAUCCCUGGUCAGGGUGCUUAGGGGUGGCAACUGAUCAA